CCGAAUUGUCAACACGAGUUGUUGCUGGCCCUCAAAUGGGGGCAUGUGCACGCUCUGUUUGCAUCCACUCACACCUGUGCACCUUCUGUAGUUCUAUGGUCUGGGAGACACCUGUCUUCCCUUCUGUGGCUCUACGUCUUUACACACACACUGUAACACGGUCUUAUGGAAUGUAUGCAGCGUUUAACGCAAUACAAUA
rnacentral:misc_RNA from 1 species